rnacentral:rRNA from 1 species
GAUGAACGCUGGCGGCGUGCCUAAUACAUGCAAGUCGAGCGAACGGACGAGAAGCUUGCUUCUCUGAUGUUAGCGGCGGACGGGUGAGUAACACGUGGAUAACCUACCUAUAAGACUGGGAUAACUUCGGGAAACCGGAGCUAAUACCGGAUAAUAUUUUGAACCGCAUGGUUCAAAAGUGAAAGACGGUCUUGCUGUCACUUAUAGAUGGAUCCGCGCUGCAUUAGCUAGUUGGUAAGGUAACGGCUUACCAAGGCAACGAUGCAUAGCCGACCUGAGAGGGUGAUCGGCCACACUGGAACUGAGACACGGUCCAGACUCCUACGGGAGGCAGCAGUAGGGAAUCUUCCGCAAUGGGCGAAAGCCUGACGGAGCAACGCCGCGUGAGUGAUGAAGGUCUGCGGAUCGUAAAACUCUGUUAUUAGGGAAGAACAUAUGUGUAAGUAACGGUGCACAUCUGGACGGUACCUAAGCAGAAAGCCACGGCUAACUACGG